AGAAACUUGGAUAUGAAAAACCAUCAAAAAGACUUUCUUUUCUUGCACAAAAUGAGCUCCUUUAAAAAUAGCCAACGUGUAGAAGGAUGUGGAUAAGAUUUUAAGUUGAAAUUCAAAUCAUUUUGAAUUCAAAUCAAAACCAACCAAUUUCUAUCCUUCAUGGAUGACAAAAGAAGGGUUAUUUUCUAAUUUUCUCAUUUAUAAAUUGAUUUUAUGUGGUAAAAAAAGGUGUGAGAUAAUUUGGAUGGCACA
rnacentral:lncRNA from 1 species